rnacentral:lncRNA from 1 species
CCUUGGAUACAGAAAUGGAAUUGCACCUAUCUCUGUAUGUUUUUUAGGGGGUAAAAAACCCCAGAUUGAAAAACUAUUUUUGUUGCUUUAUUUCUCUAAGAGUAUCUUGUAGUCGCCUAAAAUACUGGUUUUAGACCUUUGUUCCUUAUCUGAAAUAUAUUCACAGUUCAUGGUGUGAAUUGUCUUAGUUGAAAAUACUGUUUAUUUUAUUGUGUGAAACAGAACUAAUUAUGCAAUAAGUAUUUAUAAUUUUUUCAGGUUCCCAAAUACAUUGCUGAGGAGCCAAAUGGUAGAAAUGUAGAGGUCUAAAACUAAGGAAAUGUGUGUGGAAGAAAUGGAAUCUCAAAAGCCUUAAGGCUGCCACAGUAAAUCAUACUAGUAAAGAUGCUACUGCUAAAAUAAAAGCUGGUGCAUCUGCCAGUUCUGCAGCCGCCAGUCAGUCUUGUAAAUAUUUUAAACACACAGUGCAUGUGACCAUAGAUUUUUGGAAUAAAACUUAUGGUCCCCUGUAAAAUCUGAAUUGUAAACAUAAAUUAUUACUAAUAUUUUUGGAAAGUAUUUAAGAAGCUGUUAAUGCUCCAUCUUGGUUUGAUUUAUCAGUUUUCUUAUACUAAUGAUAAUGACUCUUUUUUAUCUAGUACCUGGAUCGCAUUUUCAGUAUGUCUUGCAUUGUAGUAUCUUUUACUCCCUUGUCUUCACUAUCUAAAUGGAUCAGACCUUUUUUUUUAUUCUUUUAGUCUAGCCUUCUGUUCUUUCUCAUGGCCACUAUUUUAACUUCUUU